UAGCCAACCUGUUAAUUAUUUUGCCAACAAACUCUAAUCAUUCACAAUUAUUUAUUCAGUAUAGGCUAUAUAGAAGGAGACAUUUCUGACAUGACUAACAUUAUAUUAGCUGGUUGUUAUAAGAAUCUGCUCACCGUGUGGUUGCAGCAUGCAAAUUUAUUUAAUAUUGGGAAAUGGGUUCAGCAUUUUUUUCACCAACAGAACUCAUAAUACAGUUUCCUAAUCCUCAUAUUAACAGAAUGAUUUGUUGGAGUAUCAGUAUUUAGCUGGUGAAGGUUAUGUUUCCUCCUGCCUGCCAGAUAUCAGAAGGUUGAUGCCCCAUAGCAACUUUGUCAAAUUCAUAACAUAAGGGGAACAUAAUCUUGACAAUUUUGUUUUUUUUUUUUGUUUUUUGUUUUUUUUUAGAUAUAUGGAGUCAUAGCCAAUCCCUAAUUUUAAUUUUCAUGGGUGAAGGGAAGGGAAUUCUCCUAUAUUCUGUACACACUUACAUUAGGGUUCUAUACUGAAAUCGCACUACAGCACUGCAUUGCAAAAUUUGAUUUAAAUAAUCUCUUGUGACUUUCACUCAAGAAGCAAUUUUGAUUGGAGACGAGACGCAUAAUGUAAUGGCUCAGAUCAAUGUGAUUACCAUAUGCUUUCCUGCAGCAAGUCUGAUCCAGGCAUUUCGCCAUUUCUGCUACUUCACCUCCCAAAACAUAUGUGGCAUGUCUAUACUUGGUUGGAGGACCUCGUACUCAUACACAACAGCAACUCAACCUUACAAUAAAGAGUGGAGGGAGAUCAUGGGAGACAUUCUGUUGCAAUUUCAUAUGCAACUGCAGCUUUUUUAAUCAUCUUUCUACAGAAAGAGCUACUAUUGACUUUCUUUCAUCCUUGUUCAUCUUCUUCCCAAACGAGGUGUUUCUAGUGAUGCUGGAUUAAAUAGUUGAAUCUUCCUUUCUCCUCCUCAAUAAGGAAUGAAGAUUUCUUAAUUUUUCCUUCAUCUGAGAAACUUCAUCUCUUGCUAGACCACAAACGUCAAGACUCCUCACUGAUUCUCCUUUAAGUCUUCAGCCCACUGCUUAUUUUGAUAUUAGGAUAGGGAAUGAAGGGUGUGUGGCGACUUAAGAAGAUCAUCCAUGUGCUCAUAAAGCUGUUCUAAUCCAAGCACACCACUGCAGAUUGUAGCUUCUUCUGGACUGGUUGAUACUUGUAAUAUUUUGAGCUCAUUCAGCUCUUCUUCCAAUUUCUGGCUUGGAUGUGAUUUCCUGGGAAAA